rnacentral:rRNA from 1 species
GUGUGUAGUUAAGCUGCGCAUCUUGACGUUUUUAACAAAAGAAGCACCGGCUAACUCCGUGCCACCAGCCGCGGUAAUACGGAGGGUGCGAGCGUUAAUCGGAAUUACUGGGCGUAAAGCGCAUGCAGGUGGUUCAUUAAGUCAGAUGUGAAACCCCGGGGCUCAACCUCGGAACUGCAUUUGAAACUGGUGAACUAGAGUGCUGUAGAGGGGGGUAGAAUUUCAGGUGUAGCGGUGAAAUGCGUAGAGAUCUGAAGGAAUACCAGUGGCUAAGGCGGCCCCCUGGACAGACACUGACACUCAGAUGCGAAAGCGUGGGGAGCAAACAGGAUUAGAUACCCUGGUAGUCCACACCGUAAACGAUGUAUACUUGGAGGCUGUGGCCUUGAUCCGUGGCUUUCCGAGCU